UACGUAGGGUGCGAGCGUUGUCCGGAAUUAUUGGGCGUAAAGAGCUUGUAGGCGGUUUGUCGCGUCUGCUGUGAAAGCCCGGGGCUUAACCCCGGGUCUGCAUUCGAUACGGGCAGGCUAGAGUUCGGUAGGGGAGAUCGGAAUUCCUGGUGUAGCGGUGAAAUGCGCAGAUAUCAGGAGGAACACCGGUGGCGAAGGCGGCUCGCUGGACCGGUUCUGACGCUGAGACGCGAAAGCGUGGGGAGCAAACAGG
rnacentral:rRNA from 1 species